rnacentral:rRNA from 1 species
GAGGAAUAUUGGUCAAUGGACGCAAGUCUGAACCAGCCAUGCCGCGUGCAGGAUGAAGGCCUUACAGGUCGUAAACUGCUUUUAUACGGGACGAAACCCCUGAACGUGUUCGGGGCUGACGGUACUGUAUGAAUAAGCAUCGGCUAACUCCGUGCCAGCAGCCGCGGUAAUACGGAGGAUGCAAGCGUUAUCCGGAUUUAUUAGGUUUAAAGGGUGCGUAGGCGGAAUAAUAAGUCAGUGGUGAAAUCCUGCAGCUUAACUGUAGAACUGCCAUUGAAACUGUCAUUCCUGAGUAUAGUUGAGGUGGGCGGAAUGUGUCAUGUAGCGGUGAAAUGCAUAGAUAUGACACAGAACACCGAUUGCGUAGGCAGCUCACUAAACUAUAACUGACGCUGAGGCACGAAAGCGUGGGGAUCAAAC